UACCAGCUCUCCGAGUAGUGUGGAUGUUUAUUGGGCCUAAAGCAUCCGUAGCUUGCUAAGCAAGUCCCCUGUUAAAUCCACCGAUUCAAUCGGCGGAUUGCGGGGGAUACUGUUUGGCUAGGGGACGGGAGAGGCCGACGGUAUUUCCGGGGUAGGGGUGAAAUCCUAUAAUCCCGGGAAGACCACCAGUGGCGAAGGCUGUCGGCUAGAACGCGCCCGACGGUGAGGGAUGAAAGCUGGGGGAGCGAACCGGAUUAGAUACCCGGGUAGUCCCAGCUGUAAACGAUGCAGGCUAGGUGUUUGGGCGGCCACGAGCCGCUCUAGUGCCGCAGGGAAGCUGUUAAGCCUGCCGCCUGGGGAGUACGGCCGCAAGGCUGAAACUUAAAGGAAUUGGCGGGGAGCACCACAAGGGGUGAAGCUUGCGGUUU
rnacentral:rRNA from 1 species